ACAGGUGCUGCAUGGCUGUCGUCAGCUCGUGUCGUGAGAUGUUCGGUUAAGUCCGCUAACGAGCGCAACCCUCGCUGUGUGUUACAAGUGUCACACGGACUGCCGGUCUAAGUAACCGGAGGAAGGUGGGGAUGACGUCAAGUCAGCAUGGCCUUUAUAUCCUGGGCUACACACACGCUACAAUGGGAAGGGACAAUAGGUUGCGAAGCCGCGAGGCGGAGCCAAUCCAGCAAACUUCCCUCAGUUCAGAUUGCAGGCUGCAACUCGCCUGCAUGAAGUUGGAGUUGCUAGUAAACGCAGGUCAGCCAUACUGCGUUGAAUACGUUCCCGGGGCUU
rnacentral:rRNA from 1 species